AUGUCCUAUGGGGGCAUCAGUUGCAGACAUCCCAACAAUAUUAAACUAAAAUCUUUUUCAAAUUGAUUUCCCUUUGUUUUGCACCAAUGCCUGUGUUCUCUUUUAGCAACCUGUUUGCUCUAAGCCCAGCCAAGCCUUGUACCCUCAAUACAGAGACAGACACUGAUUGUCCCUUCUAUGGUUCCCUCAGCACCCUUCCCAGUGUCUGGCUCUGGGCCUGCAUCACAAUCCUGCACUUUAAAUGAUGGGCACUAUUCCAUCCAAUCUACCUCCCUCUGUGCAGCUGGGCAAAGACCUCCAAUGAGCCUAGACACUGAGGGGAAAUGGAAUUUUGAGCGAUGUCCUGCCUGACUGAGCAGAGAAGGAAGGAGGAAAUGGUCUGUGGCUGAGAGGAGUCCUGGAAGGGAGGAGGAUAGAGAAACUGUGUAAUGAGGAAGGCAGCUAAUAGCAAAAGAGCAGCUGCCAGAGGAAUAACUCAUUCUGGUCCAUUGAAAUCCAUCCUUUAUCAGAAUCUAUAUAAGGCAUGAAAAGAGAAGGCAGGACUGUCCCCUGUGGCAAGAGAAACUGUCAGGGACAAUGACAUCAUAGGCAGAAGCACCAACCAAGGCCAAAGAAACCAGAGCCCAGCCCCCCUGCCAGAAUAUUCCAAUUAGAAGAUGCCACUCAUUCUGAUUCCAUCAUGGGCUGCAAGCUGCUCUACUGUGUGGCCUUCUGUGUCCUGAGAACAGUCCUCAUGGACACUGGAAUUACUCAGACGCCAAGAUACCUGGUCAUGGGAAUGAGAAAUAAGAAGACUUUGGAAUGCAAACAACAUCUGGGGCAUAAUUCUAUGUAUUGGUAUAAACAGAGUGCUCAGAAGCCACUGGAGCUCAUGUUUAUGUACAACUAUAAGGAACUCGUUGAAAAUAACACUGUCCCAAGACGCUUCUUACCCAACUGCUCAGACAGCUCUCAGUUAUACCUUUACGUGGAUGCCCUGAAGCCAGAAGACUCCGCCGUGUACUUCUGUGCUAGCAGCAAGGACACAGCCUUGCAGAGUCACCUUUUGCCUGUGCAGAAACCUCCUGGGUCCAGUCAGGAAACUGUGGGCAACCAAGGCUCAGUUCAGCAUUUCCCAUGA